AUGUGGCUGGCAUGGAGAUGGCGGGUGCGGAGGGCAGGAGGGAGGCUUCCGCCUCCGCUGCCUCAGACGUAUGUGACCGGCCGCAGGCGGUGGGAUCCAGGAGAGGCUACGCCGACGAGAGGUCUGACCGGCGAGGAGGACGAGCAAGGAGAUGACGCAGAUCUGCGGAGUCAGCAACAACAACAACCACCAUUUUCACAACAACAACAACCACCGUUUUCACAACAGCCACCAAUUUCACAGCAACAACAACCACCAUUUUCGCAGCAACAACAACCACCAUUUUCACAGCAACAACAAAUACCAGUUAUUCAUCCAUCUGUUUUGCAGCAACUAAACCCAUGCAAGGUAUUCCUCCAGCAGCAGUGCAUCCCUGUGGCAAUGCAGCGAUGUCUUGCUAGGUCACAAAUGUUGCAGCAGAGGAUUUGCCAUGUGAUGCAGCAACAAUGUUGCCAACAGUUGCGGCAAAUCCCCGGGCAAUCCCGCCAUGAGUCAAUCCGUGCUAUCAUCUACUCUAUCAUCCUGCAGCAACAACAACAACAACAACAACAAGUUCAGAGUAUCAUCCAAGCUCAGCAACAACAACCCCAACAGUUGGGCCAAUGUGUCUCCCAACCCCAACAACAAUCGCAGCAGCAACUCGGGCAACAACCUCAACAACAACAAUUGGCACAGGGUACCUUUUUGCAGCCACACCAGAUAGCUCAAUUUGAGGUGAUGACUUCCAUUGCACUCCGUACCUUGCCAACGAUGUGCAAUGUCAACGUGCCGUUGUACGGAACCACCACUAGUGCGCCAUUCGGCGUUGGCACUGGAGUUGGUGCCUACUGA
rnacentral:rRNA from 1 species